CGAGCGGCGGACGGGUGAGUAAUGCCUAGGGAUCUGCCCAGUCGAGGGGGAUAACAGUUGGAAACGACUGCUAAUACCGCAUACGCCCUACGGGGGAAAGAGGGGGACUUUCGGGCCUCUCGCGAUUGGAUGAACCUAGGUGGGAUUAGCUAGUUGGUGAGGUAAUGGCUCACCAAGGCGACGAUCCCUAGCUGUUCUGAGAGGAUGAUCAGCCACACUGGGACUGAGACACGGCCCAGACUCCUACGGGAGGCAGCAGUGGGGAAUAUUGCACAAUGGGGGAAACCCUGAUGCAGCCAUGCCGCGUGUGUGAAGAAGGCCUUCGGGUUGUAAAGCACUUUCAGUAGGGAGGAAAGGUUGUAAGUUAAUACCUUGCAGCUGUGACGUUACCUACAGAAGAAGGACCGGCUAACUCCGUGCCAGCAGCC
rnacentral:rRNA from 1 species